GCGGUUGUGGCGUAAUUGGUAGCCGCGCCAGACUUAGGAUCUGGUGACGAAAGUCGUGGGGGUUCGAGUCCCUUCAGCCGCA
rnacentral:tRNA from 1 species